AGUAACACGUGGGGAACCUGCCCCUAAGUCUGGGAUACCAUUUGGAAACAGGUGCUAAUACCGGAUAAUAAAGCAGAUCCCAUGAUCAGCUUUUGAAAGGCGGCGUAAGCUGUCGCUAAGGGAUGGCCCCGCGGUGCAUUAGCUAGUUGGUAAGGUAACGGCUUACCAAGGCGACGAUGCAUAGCCGAGUUGAGAGACUGAUCGGCCACAUUGGGACUGAGACACGGCCCAAACUCCUACGGGAGGCAGCAGCA
rnacentral:rRNA from 1 species